AUGCGCACAGGCUUCAUGAUGAUGGGGGGGGGGGGGGGGCNNNNNNNNNNACAGGUCAUCUUACUGAACAGGUCAACAGGUCAUCUUACUGAACAGGUCAACACAGGUCAUCUUACUGAACAGGUCAUCUUCCUGAACAGGUCCUCUAACUCAACAGGUCAUCUAUCUCAACAGGUAAUUUUACUCAACAGGUCAUUUUACUCAACAGGUCAUUUUACUCAACAGGUCAUUUUACUCAACAGGUCAUUUUACUCAACAGGUCAUUUUACUCAACAGGUCAUCUAUCUCAAGAGGUCAUUUUACUCAACAGGUCAUUUUACUCAACAGGUCAUUUUACUCAACAGGUCAUUUUACUCAACAGGUCAUUUUACUCAACAGGUCAUUUUACUCAACAGGUCAUUUUACUCAACAGGUCAUUUUACUCAACAGGUCAUCUUACUCNNNNNNNNNNCCUACUGUAGUACCAGCAGAGGUCUAUACUGCCCCCUACUGUAGUACCAGCAGAGGUCUAUACUGCCCCCUACUGUAGUAACAGCAGAGGUGUAGGUAUCCUGAUACAUAAGAAUGCACCCUUUUCCCUUGUAUCCCAGCAUACAGACCAAGAAGGACGUUUGCUAAUUUUGAAUUGUACCUUACAUGGGGAGAAAUACACAUUGAUUUCAUUGUAUAUCCCCCCAAGGGGCAAACUUGAUGUUUUUAGAUAUAAUUAAUUUUAGAUCAAACCCAGACAGGAAGUAUUAUUUUAGCAGGUGACCUAAAUCGAGCAUUCAACAAAUUAGACAGAUAUAGCAAUAAAUAAGGGAAAGUCAAGGAAAUUCCAAAGAGCCUGAAAAUGUUCAUCUCUACAAAUAUUUUACAGGACACCUGGAGAUUAUUAUUCCCAACUUGUUUUCUCAAAGUAUGUAAAGCUAUUCAAGAAUUCACUACAUUUUUACUUCCAAACAAUAUACUGGGUUCUAAAAUCCAUAUUAUAGACUGGGUGGUUCGAGCCCUGAAUGCUGAUUGGCGUACAGCCGUGGUAUAUCAGACAUUAUAAACUGAGUGGUUCGAGCCCUGAAUGCUGAUUGGCUUACAGCCAUGGUAUAUCAGACAUUAUAAACUGGGUGGUUCGAGCCCUGAAUGCUGAUUGGCUUACAGCCAUGGUAUAUCAGACAUUAUAAACUGGGUGGUUCGAGCCCUGAAUGCUGAUUGGCUUACAGCCAUGGUAUAUCAGACAAUAUAAACUGGGUGGUUCGAGCCCUGAAUGCUGAUUGGCUUACAGCCAUGGUAUAUCAGACAUUAUAAACUGGGUGGUUCAAGCCCAGAAUGCUGAUUGGCUUCCAGCCAUGGUAUAUCAGACCGUAUACCAUGAGUAUGAUAAAAGUAUUUUUACUGCUAUAAUUACGUUGAUAACCAGUUUAUAAUAGCAAUAAGGCACCUCUGGCGGUUUGUGAUAUAUGGCCAAUAUACGGGCUGUGUCAGGCACUCCGCGUUGUGCCGUGCUUAAGAACAGCCCUUAGCUGUGGUAUAUUAGCCAUAUACACCACAUCUCCUUUGGCCUUAUUGCUUAAAUAUAGUGAUAUUGGAUCAUUCUCCUGUAUCAUGCUUAAUUACACCAUCAGAAAAUACACUUAGUGAGAAUAUGGAGAACGAACAGAGCACAUCUUCAGGACCCAAAAUAUAUUAGAGAUAAUUUGUGGUUUAGUACGGUACCCUGCAUCACUAAUUCAUGGGGGGGGAGUUAGAGCGCUGAUUAUGAUUUUGGGUCCCAAGGCGCUACUGUGUCUCUAACUGACAAUGAAUGGAUGACAUAAACCAAAUAGAAACUGAUAAUUGUGCACUUACUAAAACUGUUGUUACACCAAGGUUUUUAUUCUAAGAGAAACUUAGACUAAAAUGAGGGUGUGGAAAUGUUAGGAUUAGCUUGCUCUUACUGUAGUACUGUAGCCUACUCCCGACCGGUCAUGUUGUACAGCGCCUGAGUGGCGCCGUUGUCUAAGACACUGCAUCGCAGUGCAAACUGUAUUGCUUCAGAUAUUAGUUUGAUACCCGUGCCGGCUGCGACCGGGAGACCCAUGAGACAAGGGUAGGCUUUUGGUUUCUCUCCCUCUAAAAAAAUUAAUAAAUCAUUCAAAAUAACAAAAUGGCUUUAUUUACAAAUUAGUAAGAAUGUGUCCAAGAAGGUUAUUUGAAAACUAAAUAAUCUCCAAAAUAUCGUUAUUUUUUUAAACAAGCCAUAGAAAGUUGGUUUCAAUUUCAGUUUAAUCCACCAGAAAAUAAAAUUGAUAUUUUUUAACAAACCACAGACAUUUGGUUGCAGUUUAAUCCACCAGAAAAGACAGAACAAAUAAUACAACAAAUAUUGUGGUUAAACUCAAAUAUACUAAUUGAUUAAAUGCCCCUUAUUCAUAUUAAUAUUAAUAUUAAUUUAGAAUCCUCCAAUCCUCUAAAUGUAAUUAUUGGCGGAGAGUCACGUCAUUGUAUUUUAUUUUAUUUUUUUAGGAAUACUGUAGGCGACAUGAGUCUCACAAGUUUUGUUAAAAGUGGUGAAGUUAUUUUUAAUGUGUACGCAGCAUUUGUGUAUUGGAGUCACUUUGAAUUCUUUAGUGAUCUGCAGUUUCUAUCAUAGGCUACUGUAAUCAAUGGGGGCUCAGGGUCGUACCGUUCUGCUCAUCUGAUGAAGGUGCACAUGGAUCAGAUUCAAACUUUGAAGACCGAGAUCGAGUCAUUGAAGGCAGACCAGCAGAAAGAGAAACAUUAUCUGAGGUCAGAGAUACGGGCGACAACUGAUGCAUUGGUCCAGAGCCAGGCGCUAUUGGCAAGAGAGUCAGGCGGAGAAUGACGUGUUGAAGAGGGCAAGGAACGAUGGAGUCACAAUCCAUACCAGGCACACCUCUGAGCUCUGGAACUCCACCUCUGACAGACAGUCAACAUACCUGAUGGGUUCGUCAGGUCGUCAGUUCACCCUGACAUUUCCAUUCCUCUUCUGACAACAGAACUUGACCAACUGCUCACCAGGCACAGCAAGGGCCGUCCGGAUCCGGAUCCGGACCGUUAUGCUGUUCUGCUAUUCCAAGGAUGUGGCAGGGUAGCCUAGUGGUUAGAGCGUUAUGACACAACUUUUACAGGAAGAACCACUGUACAGGUUAAACUCAAAUAUUUGAUGGCAAAUAAAUCCGGUCUCACAGCCCUCACAAAAUGAAUACACACCAAACCAGUUAUAAUUUUUAAAAGAUAAGGAUGCAAACGCUUUAAUUAGAAACAACGCUAUUGACAACAUAAAAAAAAUAUAAAGCUUCUAUGAAAAUCAAUAUAAAUCAGAAUUAAAUGAUCUGAUCCUGAGCCUUCUUAGACUCAACAACCCUGAAGCAAUUAUCAGCUGAUUUUUUUUUUUUUACUAUCACAAAAGACGAAAAUCACCCAAAAAUAAAUAAUAGAGACAUAAAACAUUCGCUCAGAGAAAAGAACCAGGGCUUUUCCCAUAUAAUUGUUUAUUAUAAAAAAAUGGACAACACUCAAUUCAGUACUUCCAAUAUCCAUGUAUCAAACGGUUAUUUCAGUCAUAUUAAAACCAGAUUCCCCUGCAGAUUAAAGAUUAAUUUUUAUAAAUUGGCAACAAUAAAAUAAUAACAAAACUUAUAAACAAUAGAAUGGCAAAAGUACUUGAUACGUAUUAAGGGUUUAUUAAAAAAGGCUUUCAAACAAAUACAAUAACAGUAUUAGUAUUUAGUAUUAUACAAUAUGCAAAACAAAAAACAUAACUGUUGAUGCUGAAAAGGCUUUUGACCGUCUUGUGUGGACUCUUUUAUAUUAAAAACUUUGGAAGCAUUCAUCUCUCCAGCUGAAAUGAUAAAUUUCAUACAAAUAUUAUACAAAAAUCAUAAAGCUAAAAUAUACAAAACUAAGCCAUUAUCUGAUUAAAUUUCUUUAGAAAGGGGCACAAGGCAGGGACGUCCCUUCUCCCCCCUCCUGUUUGCACUGGCAAUUGAACCACAUCCAGUAAGAAUUAGACAGGAUCCAAACGUAACAGGUACCAGUAUUGGAAAACAUGAAUAUAAACUAAACUUAUCUGCUGACGAUCUCCUGAUAUACCUGACUAAUACUGAAAACUCAGUGCCCCCCUUGUUAAAAACAAAAUCCGUAUUAAAUCUCAGGAUUUAAAAUGAACGUGGAAUUAAUGUCAAUAGGAAAAAUCUACAGCAAACCUUUAGGUUUACUACAAAAAAUAUAAAAUACUUAGAAUGCUUAAUAAGUGACAACAAACAACAAAUAUAUAUAAAGAUAAAGUUAUCUCCUUACUCAAAAAAAUGAAAGCAGAUCUAGGUAAAUUGAAUUACUUCCCCAUAAAUCUUACAGAUAGAACAAACCUCUUUAGAAUGGCAUGGCUCCCAAACGUUUCAUAUUGAUUUAAUGGGAGUACCAAUUACCCCACUGAAGACAUUCUUUACAAAAGUAAACCCAGCCAUAACAUACUUCAUAUAAAACUCAUAGAAUAAAUAGGAAAGUUUUACAUGUCCCUGAAUCUGAGGGGGGUUUUAACUUUCCAGACUUGGAAUAGUAUCAACUCGCCACCCAAGACUUUUACUUGCGACAUACACUGAGUAUACAAAACAUUAAGAACAACUGAUCUUUGCAUGACAUAGACUGACCAGCUUAAUCCAGGUGAAAGCUAUAAUCCCUUAUUGAUGUCACUUGUUAAAUCCACUCCAAUCAGUGUAGAUUCAGGGGAGGAAACCGGUUAAAGAAGGAUUUUUAAUCCUUGACACAAUUGAGACAUGAGGUCUGAUAGUGGCCAGUUCAUAUGAUCUGACCUCAGGAUAAGACCCAGAUGCAGACAGUUCUAAGUAACAAAAGUUUAUUACAAAAACAGGGGGCAGGCAAACGACAGGUCAAGGGCAGGCAGAGGUCAGGAAUCCAGGGCAGUAUUACAAGGUACAGAACAGCGGUCAGGGCAGGCAGAGGUCAGUAAUCCAGGGCAGUGUUACAAGGUACAGAACAGCGGUCAGGGCAGGCAGAGGUCAGUAAUCCAGGGCAGUGUUACAAGGUACAGAACAGC
rnacentral:lncRNA from 13 species